GAGUUUGAUCCUGGCUCAGGAUGAACGCUAGCUGGAGGCUUAAUACAUGCAAGUCGAGCGGGAUUGGUAGCAAUACCAUGAGAGCGGCGCACGGGUGAGUAACGCGUACACGACCUACCUCUAACAGGGGGAUAGCCCUGGGAAACUGGGAUUAAUACCGCAUAUUAUUCUGAUUAAUAAAGGAUUGGAAUGAAAGCUGAGGCGGUUAGAGAUGGGUGUGCGUCUGAUUAGCUAGUUGGUAGGGUAACGGCCUACCAAGGCGAUGAUCAGUAGGGGGCGUGAGAGCGUGGUCCCCCACACGGGUACUGAGACACGGACCCGACUCCUACGAGAGGCAGCAGUAAGGAAUAUUGGUCAAUGGGCGAAAGCCUGAACCAGCCAUCCAGCGUGCAGGAAGAAGGCCCUAUGGGUUGUAAACUGCUUUUAUCAGGGAAGAAACCUCUGGAUUCACUCCGGAGCUGACGGUACCUGAAGAAUAAGCACCGGCUAACUCCGUGCCAACCGCCGCAGUAA
rnacentral:rRNA from 1 species